CCGCCUCCCCUGCGCUCAAUCGGCCGGGAGCGGGAGCAGCGCCGCGGCGGGGCGCGCCGGGACCCGCACCCUGCAUCCUCCCGCCCGGGCCGCGCAGCGCAGCCCCGGCUCCUGCAAAACCGAAACUUGCGAAGCGUUCGCCCUACCUGGCGUGGAAGCCUUGCAACAAGUGCAGGCGCGGGGCGUGUGUCGGCGAGCAGGGCGCAAUCGCGAUAUGAAUUUAUGACAGAGCUGCCCGGGCUCGGUCCUUACUGCACUUACAGUGCGGCGCUCAUCCUGUAAACAAAUAUCGCUCCGCCAGGAAACAUACUCCCCCCCGGCCCGGCCCGGCGCGGCGCGGCCCCGCUGCCCGCUCCCACCCCGGGGCGGCGGCACAUGGAGCGGAGCGGAGCGGGCGCCGCCGCACCCCGCACGGCGCAGGGGGAGGCUCCGGGCAGAGGCACUUACCUCGGCGCGGCCUCCCCGCGCCGCCGCGCUGCCUUUGCGGGUCCGCGGUGCGGGGAAGGGAAAGAAAAAGAAGGGUAAAAAAAAAAACCAAACCAACCCCCGGUGUCAGCAAAUCGCUGUCAAAUUAUUCCCUCGCAGGGGAGAGGGAAGGGGGGAAGCAGAAGCAGAAGGGGGAGGAGGCUGCGGGAGGCGGCGGGAUCCCUCCGCCGCGAUGGGUCUGGUAGCGAAGCAGGAAGUAAGGUGUCGGCGGCGCGGCGGCCGGGCUGAGGGCUGAGGGGCACCCGCCACCCCGUGGGCCCGCCGCCGGCCCUGCGCCUGCCGCCGCUUCCCUCCCGCUCCGCCGGCGGCUCCUCCUCUCAGCGCGGGGAGCGCAGCGCAGAAACGGCACGGUGACACUCCUCAUCGGUCCUGCCUCCCUGGAGCUCAGCAUUCGCAUUAGAUUGCACCAAAAUGUUCCCUUGCGGGGAAGGAUUUUGCAUCUUGGGAGCAGCUAUGUGAUGCAUACAGCUUACGCAGUGCUCUGUUCAAGCUCACGGGCAAUGACAAGUUAGCAUAAGAAGCCGUGUCUGGGAAGAGAGAAACCGAAACGGGUGGUUACGGGGCCUGCUUCUGCCUUCAGAGAGGGGAGAAAAAAGCCAACAGCACUCUCAAGAACAGAAAUAGGGCUUUGGUUUUAGCGUUUCUGAUUCAGCCUUGCAUUAUAAUGGUUACCAGCAGCUUCGUUUUCUUUUUAUGGUCAUCCUGGUUUCCUGGCUGCAUGGCACUUCCACCGGGCCACUGCUCUUAAUAAUUUAACCUUUUAUGAGAUUGCUUUGAUUUGCAGUGUAGAUCAGAGCAAGAGUGAACAAGUAUGAUGUCACCCACCGGCUACUAAACUCCUUUGUGCUACAGCAGAGGUCUCAGUUGCUUAAAAUAUCAAGAGAAAGAAAGGGUUUUGGUGGUGUUUUUUUCUUUUCCCAGCCAGCUAGCCAUUUUCUCAUCUUAGUUUUACUUAAGUGAAAAAUACCAUUCAGAUACUGUAACCGUGCUGAGCUGUGCAAAGGCUAUGCUGAGUCUGGGAUUCGGUGGUUGGCUUGUUUGCUUGCUGGAGUCCUAAGUCAUAGAAACGAGGUUGAAAAUAGAAUUAAAACCACAACUCAACAUGU